rnacentral:rRNA from 1 species
AGACAGCAGCCGCCGGGUAAUACGGAGGGUGCAAGCGUUAUCCGGAUUCACUGGGUUUAAAGGGUACGUAGGCGGAUCUGUAAGUCAGUGGUGAAAUCUCCAGGCUUAACCUGGAAACUGCCGUUGAUACUAUAGGUCUUGAAUUUUGUGGAGGUUAGCGGAAUAUGUCAUGUAGCGGUGAAAUGCAUAGAUAUGACAUAGAACACCAAUUGCGAAGGCAGCUGGCUACACAACUAUUGACGCUGAGGCACGAAAGCGUGGGGAUCAAACAGGAUUAGAUACCCGCGUAGUCCCUGUCUCUUAUACA